GGCCGCCUGGCGAAAUGGCAUCGCGUCUGACUACGAUGUUAUGAUUGUUAUCAGGAGAUUGCAGGUUCGACCCCUGCGGUGGUCA